rnacentral:rRNA from 1 species
UACGGGGGGAGCAAGCGUUGUUCGGAUUUACUGGGCGUAAAGGGCGCGUAGGCGGUCGUGACAAGUCACUUGUGAAAUCUCCGGGCUUAACUCGGAAAGGUCAAGUGAUACUGUCGGACUAGAGUACAGAAGGGGCAACUGGAAUUCUCGGUGUAGCGGUGAAAUGCGUAGAUAUCGAGAGGAACACCUGCGGCGAAGGCGGGUUGCUGGGCUGAUACUGACGCUGGAGGCGCGAAAGCUAGGGGAGCGAACGGG